rnacentral:rRNA from 1 species
UACGGGAGGCAGCAGUGGGGAAUAUUGCACAAUGGGCGCAAGCCUGAUGCAGCCAUGCCGCGUGUAUGAAGAAGGCCUUCGGGUUGUAAAGUACUUUCAGUCGUGAGGAAGGUGUUAAGGUUAAUAACCUUAGCAAUUGACGUUAGCGACAGAAGAAGCACCGGCUAACUCCGUGCCAGCAGCCGCGGUAAUACGGAGGGUGCGAGCGUUAAUCGGAAUUACUGGGCGUAAAGGGCACGCAGGCGGUUAAUUAAGUUGGAUGUGAAUCCCCGGGCUUAACCUGGGAAUGGCAUUCAAGACUGGUUAGCUAGAGUCUUGUAGAGGGGGUAGAAUUCCAUGUGUAGCGGUGAAAUGCGUAGAGAUGUGGAGGAAUACCGGUGGCGAAGGCGGCCCCUGGGACAAAGACUGACGCUCAUGUGCGAAAGCGUGGGGAGCGAAACAGGGAUUUAGAUA